AGCUCGAAGCGGUUGUUGACUCGGACGCCCUCCUUCCCUGCGCCCCCGGGACGCCGGACACCAAGCUCCCGCUUGGGCCCUUCUUCUUCCGCGUCAUCGUCAUCACGGAGAUCGAAAUGCAAGGCGCCGGGCCCGAGGGGCUCCUGGCCGCGCUGUUCCCCCCUCAGCCUCCGGAGGGCCCGGCGCGACAUAGGACCGAACGACCACGACGUCUGGAGAGAGGGAGAAGGAAGCGCAGAAAACUCGGCUGUCGGCGCGCCUGCGCACUCUUCGCGCGGGGUCGGGGGCGGGGGAGCUGGCUGCGCG
rnacentral:lncRNA from 1 species